rnacentral:rRNA from 1 species
UGAGGAAUAUUGGUCAAUGGGCGAGAGCCUGAACCAGCCAAGUCGCGUGAAGGAAGAAGGUUCUAUGGAUUGUAAACUUCUUUUGUAAGGGAAUAAAAAGAGUUACGUGUAACUUAUUGUAUGUACUUUACGAAUAAGGAUCGGCUAACUCCGUGCCAGCAGCCGCGGUAAUACGGAGGAUCCAAGCGUUAUCCGGAUUUAUUGGGUUUAAAGGGUGCGUAGGCGGGUUUUUAAGUCAGUGGUGAAAGUUUGCAGCUCAACUGUAAAAUUGCCAUUGAAACUGAAGACCUUGAGUGUAAAUGAGGUAGGCGGAAUGUGUUGUGUAGCGGUGAAAUGCUUAGAUAUAACACAGAACACCAAUUGCGAAGGCGGCAUCCUGGGCCAGCACUGACACUGAGGCACGAAAGCGUGGGGAGCAAACA